UACGUAGGGUGCAAGCGUUAAUCGGAAUUACUGGGCGUAAAGCGUGCGCAGGCGGUGAUGUAAGACAGAUGUGAAAUCCCCGGGCUCAACCUGGGAACUGCAUUUGUGACUGCAUCGCUGGAGUGCGGCAGAGGGGGAUGGAAUUCCGCGUGUAGCAGUGAAAUGCGUAGAUAUGCGGAGGAACACCGAUGGCGAAGGCAGCCUCCUGGGCUAGUACUGACGCUCAUGCACGAAAGCGUGGGGAGCAAACAGG
rnacentral:rRNA from 1 species